rnacentral:rRNA from 1 species
UACCAGCACCCCGAGUGGUCGGGACGAUUAUUGGGCCUAAAGCAUCCGUAGCCGGUUCUACAAGUCUUCCGUUAAAUCCACCUGCUUAACAGAUGGGCUGCGGGGGAUACUACAGGGCUAGGAGGCGGGAGAGGCAAGCGGUACUCGAUGGGUAGGGGUAAAAUCCACUGAUCCAUUGAAGACCACCAGUGGCGAAGGCGGCUUGCCAGAACGCGCUCGACGGUGAGGGAUGAAAGCUGGGGGAGCAAACCGG